GCCAAAAACACUGUCAGAGAUUUUACUGGUUCCUCUUCAAUAACCCCUUCUGACCAGCUAGAUAUUAGGUCCCUUUGAUAUGAAUGUGAUCCUAUCUGACAUCAUGUUAUCAAUUACAGAGAUGUUCAUGUGUCUGAUAAUUAUAUACAGUUUGCAGAAGCAAUUCCUUGUAGAGGUAGAGAUUUGAUCCCAUGUGUGAUUAUUUUUCCAUGACUUGUGCAAGCUCUGUGAAGCCUUUUUCAGUUUAUU